ensembl:snoRNA
GUCCGUGGAAAAUCACCCUCAGCUUUGACCUUGGUGGUGGGGGAGCUCCAUCGCCCAAAGCCAAUGGGGCCUUUCAGCUCACUGCCUGGCCCAGUGCACGCAAGUGAAACCCAGGCCCUGACACAC